rnacentral:rRNA from 1 species
UACAGGGGGUGCAAACGUUGCUCGGAAUCAUUGGGCGUAAAGCGCACGUAGGCGGUUCGUUAUGUCGGAUGUGAAAGCCCUUGGCUUAACCGAGGAAGUGCAUCCGAAACUGGCGAGCUAGAGUACGAAAGAGGAUCGCGGAAUUUCCGGUGUAGCGGUGAAAUGCGUAGAUAUCGGAAGGAACACCAGUGGCGAAAGCGGCUUCCUGGACCGACACCGACGUUCAGGCACGAAAGCGUGGGGAGCAAACAGG